rnacentral:lncRNA from 1 species
AGGCUGUGACAAAGACAAGAGGUUAAUGGCUCUAAGAUCACCUUUUGUGUCUGUACAACAGGCCGCUGAGCUCACCUGAACAGAGCAGAACUGUCAUCCUUGGAAUGGCCAGGUCCGUCCUCACCUCUGUCUCCAGGGAGCACCCCAGGGACCGACGGGGACCUUCCAUCUCCAGCUCCCUCGGCCUCAGAUCUGCGCCUUCACCGAGGAUGCAGGUGGAGAAGGGAAAGCCGCCAGCUGGUAUUUUGGAAUUAACUAACCCGGAAGGAAAUGCCAUCUCUGCUGCAGCCUGCGAGGACUGGGGAGGUCUCCAGACGUCUUGAGCGAGUCAGGUCCUCAUGAUGGGCUUUCCUGUGCUCGCCUGGAAACCAGGACGCUCUUACCUGCCCGGGGCCCGGACUGCAGACCAGGUACAGUUAUGAACUUGAAUCAUGUUGAUUGAGACACGUCUUAACGAUAUUCGCUGUUGCUGCCUUGGUGGUGUUGACGUGCUGGCUGUUUCCCUUGUGUUGCUAGGAUUUGCGUGUCGUUGGUGGGCUUAUAAAUCACAUUUUCUUUAGGAUUAGCCUAUUGACUCAACACGUGUUUGCUGAAAGCCUACCGGGCGUCAGGCAGGGUUCUUGGAGCUGUGGACACGCGCCCCGUUCGAGGAGGCCAGGCCCUCGAGGAGCUUACAUUCGGGAGAGGGGAAGACAUGGUAAAUGAUGAACCUCCGGGGGCCGGUGUGAUGGAUGCUGAGAAGAGAACUGAGUGGGGCCAGGGGACUGAGCAUGACUGUGUGGGUGCAGGGGAUGCCGUGUUCAAGGCUUGUCAGAAAACGCCUCUGUGAUGAGGUGAUUAAUCGCAGACCUGGAGCCAGUGAGGUUCCCAGGGGAGGAGCUGUGAUGUGAUGUGAUUGGCCAAACACCCGUGAUUGAGGUACCUGCAGCUUGAGCUCCCAGUUACCCCUGUGGAUGCUGUGGCAUCCAAGGCUGCUCUGCAAAGAGUUUCUGUUAACUUUGGGGUGUGCCGUGUGGUCUCUUUGUUCUGAGGGCAUCAGACUCACUCUGG